rnacentral:rRNA from 1 species
GCCUACGGGAGGCAGCAGUGGGGGAUAUUGGACAAUGGGGGAAACCCUGAUCCAGCGACGCCGCGUGAGUGAAGAAGUAUUUCGGUAUGUAAAGCUCUGUCAGCAGGGAAGAAAGAAAUGACGGUACCUGACCAAGAAGCCCCGGCUAACUACGUGCCAGCAGCCGCGGUAAUACGUAGGGGGCAAGCGUUAUCCGGAUUUACUGGGUGUAAAGGGAGCGUAGACGGCGUGCCAAGUCUGAUGUGAAAGGCCGGGGCUCAACCCCGGGCCUGCAU